rnacentral:lncRNA from 1 species
UGCAAGGUAGUAAUUAUUUUGCUGCUUGAGCUGUGUAGGUAGUAGUGUUGGACUGAAACAAAAUUAUGGAGAGUUUAAAUGGAUUUUGAAUGGAGUGGUUGGGGAAGUUGAGGAGGAAUUGGUGGAGAAAAUCAAUGCGGGAUAAUGGGAGAGUUUUUAAGCGGAAAUCAAGGAGUUUGAGAGUGAGGGCGAGUUGUGCCUUUUGGGGGUAGGCUUGUGCAAAAAUUGGUCUUUAGGCUUUUUGGGAAUCAGUUUUGAGGGUUGUUUUUCUCUCGGUCUGCUUUGAUUUGGUCAGGUUUUCUUUCACCUUUUGCUUGUGUCGAAUAUUGCUAAAGACUGUGGGUACCUUUCGGGUUUGCUCAUUUGUUUUCCUUUUUUUCCUUUUAUUCUUUUUAUUUUCUCUUCUUGUUUUUGUUUUGAUAGAAUAGUUCGUUAGUCCCCUCUGCCGAAUCCCCUUUCUCUUUCCUUUUCUCUAGGUUGUCGAAUCUUCUCUUCUCUGUUCCCCUCUUCUCUUUAUUGCUUCUCCCUCUCCCCUAAUUUUUCCCAGACCUUGCCGAAUUCUUGCUCCAUCUCCACUCUAGAUACUUUUAAA